CAUGCAAGUCGAGGGGAAACGACAUCGAAAGCUUGCUUUUGAUGGGCGUCGACCGGCGCACGGGUGAGUAACGCGUAUCCAACCUGCCCACCACUUGGGGAUAACCUUGCGAAAGUAAGACUAAUACCCAAUGACGUCUCUAGAAGACAUCUGAAAGAGAUUAAAGAUUUAUCGGUGAUGGAUGGGGAUGCGUCUGAUUAGCUUGUUGGCGGGGUAACGGCCCACCAAGGCGACGAUCAGUAGGGGUUCUGAGAGGAAGGUCCCCCACAUUGGAACUGAGACACGGUCCAAACUCCUACGGGAGGCAGCAGUGAGGAAUAUUGGUCAAUGGACGAGAGUCUGAACCAGCCAAGUAGCGCGCAGGAAGACGGCCCUAUGGGUUGUAAACUGCUUUUAUAAGGGAAUAAAGUGAGAGUCGUGACUCUUUUUGCAUGUACCUUAUGAAUAAGGACCGGCUAAUUCCGUGCCAGCAGCCGCGGUAAUACGGAAGGUCCGGGCGUUAUCCGGAUUUAUUGGGUUUAAAGGGAGCGUAGGCCGGAGAUUAAGCGUGUUGUGAAAUGUAGAUGCUCAACAUCUGAACUGCAGCGCGAACUGGUUUCCUUGAGUACGCACAAAGUGGGCGGAAUUCGUGGUGUAGCGGUGAAAUGCUUAGAUAUCACGAAGAACUCCGAUUGCGAAGGCAGCUCACUGGAGCGCAACUGACGCUGAAGCUCGGAAGUGCGGGUAUCGAACAGGAUUAGAUACCCUGGUAGUCCGCACGGUAAACGAUGGAUGCCCGCUGUUGGUCUGAAUAGGUCAGCGGCCAAGCGAAAGCAUUAAGCAUCCCACCUGGGGAGUACGCCGGCAACGGUGAAACUCAAAGGAAUUGACGGGGGCCCGCACAAGCGGAGGAACAUGUGGUUUAAUUCGAUGAUACGCGAGGAACCUUACC
rnacentral:rRNA from 1 species